AGGGAGGUGGCCGAGUCCGGUUGAAGGCGCCAGACUGUAAAUCUGGUGUGAAAGCCGCGUAGGUUCAAAUCCUACCCUCCCUA
rnacentral:tRNA from 1 species